rnacentral:rRNA from 1 species
GAUGAACGCUAGCGGCAGGCCUAAUACAUGCAAGUCGAACGGUGUCUUCGGACAUAGUGGCGCACGGGUGCGUAACACGUAUGCAACCUACCUUACAUUGGGGGAUAGCCUUUCGAAAGGGAGAUUAAUACCGCAUAAGACAGUAGCUGGGCAUCCAGCAGCUGUUAAAGAUUUAUCGAUGUAAGCUGGGCAUGCGUCCAAUUAGCUAGUUAGUGAGGUAACGGCUCACCAAGGCAAUGAUUGGUAGGGGAACUGAGAGGUCAAUCCCCCACACUGGCACUAAGAUACGGGCCAGACUCCUACGGGAGGCAGCAGUAGGGAAUAUUGGGCAAUGGACGCAAGUCUGACCCAGCCAUGCCGCGUGCAGGAUGAAGGCGUUAUGCGUUGUAAACUGCUUUUAUACAGGAAGAAACGACUCUUGCGAGAGGCAUUGACGGUACUGUAUGAAUAAGCACCGGCUAACUCCGUGCCAGCAGCCGCCGUAAAAC